UACGUAGGGUGCGAGCGUUGUCCGGAAUUAUUGGGCGUAAAGGGCUCGUAGGCGGUUUGUCGCGUCGGGAGUGAAAACCCAGGGCUUAACCCUGGGCUGGCUUCCGAUACGGGCAGACUAGAGGUAUGCAGGGGAGAACGGAAUUCCUGGUGUAGCGGUGAAAUGCGUAGAGAUCGGGAGGAACAUCAGUGGCGAAGGCGGCCUUCUGGACAGUGACUGACGCUGAGACGCGAAAGCGUGGG
rnacentral:rRNA from 1 species